UGGGGAAUAUUGGACAAUGGGCGAAAGCCUGAUCCAGCCAUGCCGCAUGAGUGAAGAAGGCCUUUGGGUUGUAAAGCUCUUUUAGUGAGGAAGAUAAUGACGGUACUCACAGAAGAAGUCCUGGCUAACUCCGUGCCAGCAGCCGCGGUAAUACGGAGAGGGCUAGCGUUAUUCGGAAUUAUUGGGCGUAAAGGGCGAGUAGGCUGGUUAAUAAGUUAAAAGUGAAAUCCCGAGGCUUAACCUUGGAAUUGCUUUUAAAACUAUUAAUCUAGAGAUUGAAAGAGGAUAGAGGAAUUCCUGAUGUAGAGGUAAAAUUCGUAAAUAUUAGGAGGAACACCAGUGGCGAAGGCGUCUAUCUGGUUCAAAUCUGACGCUGAAGCGCGAAGGCGUGGGGAGCAAACA
rnacentral:rRNA from 1 species